rnacentral:tRNA from 1 species
GGCGGUGGUAGCUCACUUGGGUAAGCGCCCGCAUCUCACGCAGGAGAUGCGGGUUCGAAUCCCGGCGCUGACA